AUUGAACGCUGGCGGCAGGCCUAACACAUGCAAGUCGAGCGAGCGGCGGACGGGUGAGUAAUGUCUGGGAAACUGCCUGAUGGAGCGGGAUAACUACUGGAAACGGUAGCUAAUACCGCAUACCAUUAGCUGUGCCCAGAUGGCAUUAGCUAGUUGGUGGGGUAAUGGCUCACCAAGGCGACGAUCCCUAGCUGGUCUGAGAGGAUGACCGGCCACACUGGAACUGAGACACGGUCCAGACUCCUACGGGAGGCAGCAGUGGGGAAUAUUGCGCAAUGGGCGAAAGCCUGAUGCAGCAAUGCCGCGUGUGUGAAGAAGGCCUUCGGGUUGUAAAGCACUGUCAGCGGGGAGGCGUUACCCGAAGAAGAAGCACCGGCUAACUCCGUGCCAGCAGCCGCGGUAAUAC
rnacentral:rRNA from 1 species